rnacentral:rRNA from 1 species
UCCCCCCUCUAAUCGGUGAAACUGAUCUCUCCGUGAAGAAGCGGAGAUGUACAUAUAAGACGAGAAGACCCCAUGGAGCUUUAAACCCAACAACACCCGCCCCCCCUCCAAAUCCUGUUAUUUACCCGGUGAUUGUUUGUUUGGUUUUAGGUUGGGGUGACCGCGGAGUAUAAGAUAUCCUCCAUGAAAAAAAGCUAACUGCCCUUAUUAGAGAAAGACACUUCCAAAAAAUAAUAAAUUAAUUUUAAAUGAUCCGACAUUCGAUCAACGAACCAAGUUACCCUGGGGAUAACAGCGCAAUCCGUCCCGAGAGCCCCUAUCGACAGGCGGGUUUACGACCUCGAUGUUGGAUCAGGGUAUCCUAGUGGUGCAGCAGCUACUAAAGGUUCGUUUGUUCAACGAUUAAAACCCU